rnacentral:rRNA from 1 species
CCUACGGGUGGCAGCAGUGGGGAAUAUUGGACAAUGGGGGGAACCCUGAUCCAGCGACGCCGCGUGAGUGAAGAAGUAUCUCGGUAUGUAAAGCCCUAUCAGCAGGGAAGAAAAUGACGGUACCUGACUCAGAAGCCCCGGCUAACUACGUGCCAGCAGCCGCGGUCAUACGUAGGGGGCAAGCGUUAUCCGGAUUUACUGGGAGUAAAGGGAGCGUAGACGGGGCAGCAAGUCGGAUGUGAAAGGGCGGGGCCCAAACCCGGGACUGCAUUGGAAACUGUUGAACUGGAGUAAAGGGGAGGUAAGCGGAAUUCCUGGUGGAGCAGUGAAAUGCGUAGAUAUUGGGAGGAACACCAGUGGCGAAGGCGGGUUACUGGACUGUAACUGACGUUGAGGCUCGAAAGCGAGGGGAGCGAAAGGGAUUAGAUACCCGAGUAGUC